rnacentral:pre_miRNA from 1 species
ACAACAACAUUCGGACCGUCGGUCUACCGAGCAAUAUCAACCGCUCGGUGGAACACCUUUCCUUUCGUCGUAAGCC